ensembl:miRNA microRNA 500a
CUGCCCUGCUCCCUCUCUCUAAUCCUUGCUACCUGGGUGAGAGUGCUGUCUAAAUGCAAUGCACCUGGGCAAGGAUUCUGAGAGCGAGAGC